CUAACAUUAUAUAAUACCUACCUUAAUACUUUGCGAGAAGCCAAUAUUAUAAUACAUUUUUAUAACAGUUCUGAAAGCAAGUACGAGUCCAGUGCAUCUUUUUUCCAGCAUUCACAAACUAAGCAGCUGAGAGCUGUGAGAGGGAAAGAGACAGAAGUUCUGAGAGGUGGGUAUGGGGAUGAAAAUGAAAGGAAAGUGAGAAGGUGGUGUGCCGCUAAAGGAUAAGCAGGAUCAGCUUGGAGAGAAAGGACAGUUGGGGUGGGAGGGAAAUUAUGUACAGCACACCAGGAAGGUGUAAUUAGGUUGAGCAGGACUGAGCAAGUGAAAGCACAUUCCUGGCUGGCUAGCAGUUGAUGGCAUAACCCCUGGAGGUGAGAGGGACCAUACUGAGCUCCCAGGUCUAGCAGCACACCCUGGCAGCUCACCAGCCACACCCCACUCCUGUCCCCCCACACCCCAAAGAAAAGCCCGAGUCCCAUAUGUAGUGGCAUUUGCAGUGCUCCCCAGCACAGCCCUUUGGGGACCAGGAGCCCAGGCCAUAUGCUACUACUCGUCCUGGACACAGCCAGCAUCCUUCAGAGAGCCUUGCUUGGGCCACCACAGACGAGAUCGGGGUCAUGGGAUAUAAAUGUCACAGGCAUCAGUGUGGGCAGUUCUGCAAAAGGAGCCUCCCUUCAGCACCCACGAGAGCUCUGCCUCUCAAGGGGGAAACAUACUUGGCCCUCCACAUGAGGAUUUGGGGCGUGACAAAAAAAAAAGGAAAAAAGAAAAAAGGCAGAGGAAUCCUUCUGUACUGGCCAGAAGGAUUAGUAGCUGGAAGAGGAAAGGGCUAUGGAUUUGAGAGGUACAUGGAACUCUGUGGACCAGAGGAUGAGGCAGGUACAGCAGGAAGAUGGUUCAGCAGUGUGGUGUAAGUAAUUGUUAGUUUGGGUCUUUGGCAGACCUGAAGAACCCAAGAAAAAUCUACAUGGGAGCUGCUUAAACAGAUCCACUGUUGCACCAGAGACAUAAAUUUCAUUUCCCUUUCAGGCUCCCAGUGCUCCCCUCAAUAUUAUUAUCAGGAAUAUUUGUAAACAAAACUACAUUUUGAGCUGUAAGAAUUAAGCCUUAAGAAGACUGCCCAGUGACAUGCUUCAAACUUCUUUAGCUGAAACUGUUCACAAGCUCUGCAAGAGCCCUAAAUAACUCCAGCUAACUUACAGCUGGAUCUCCUUCACCCAAGUCAGUUUGUUCGGCUCUAGUGCAGAAAGACAGACUGGUUUGGAGUCCCUUUUGUGAGGCUGACAGGAGGAGGUUUAGCUGAGGGAUUUGUCCAACUCUGUGAUCUUUUUCAUCUCUAAUUUGCUAUGCAGUCUAAUGACCGUGCAGUGGCACAUGCAGCUCUGUGUUACCCUGUAAUUUGUCCCUCUGACGAGCCAGCCUGCCGUGUCAAAGCCGGCAGAUGGUGCUCCCAGCUUGGCCUGUGGCUGGGCUGCGGCUCAGCACUGCUGUGGAAGAGUAUUCCUGAAUUGCAGGGGUGCAGGGAAAUACUGCUGUGUUAGACAUGGCCGUGUCCAGCACAGACAACAGGCUCUGAACAAGAUCGAAGCCUAAAAGUUCUCCUUUCCUCCUCCCUGCUUCUCCAGACCAAGUAUCUUGAGGCCUCUGAGUAGGUAAAGUCCAAAGAUGAUUCUGACUGGUUGUAUCACAGCAGUGGUGUGGAGCUGCUGGUGGCUGUGCCCACGGGCAGGGGUCAGCAGUGCCACGGUGCAGCCACCACCCAUGUGCUGCAGCACACUUCCCACAGCCAGCUACUGUGGCAGCCCACGAGACUCCUACCAACACCUGGCCUUAGCUCAGGGACAAGUAGAUGCUCACCAGCCUGGAUGUAAGGCUGACAGUGGCAUGCAUAGAUCUGUAUCCACACUUUCUCGGUGCCCCUUGACAAACCUGGGACAAACCCCAAGGUCAGGGGCCAGCAAAUCUGGCUCAGCUCUUUGCCGUACAGUAGCAAUGAAAACUGCUCUGGGGUAAGUCCAGUGAGGUCCUUCCUCUUUGCCUACAGCUGACUAUCAUGACUAACCUUCUGCAUUUAUCCAGAAUGAGUCAGACCUGUAAAAUCAUGAGACCAGCUUGAAAACAAUACACAGUGCGAGCUAUUUGUGUCCAAGUCUUUAAGAUACUCUUGGGGCUUGUUUCCUCUGGAAAUGGCAGAGCUGGGAACAUGCUGUUCUCUCUCAUGAAAGGCAAGCUGACAGUCCUAGGCUCCAGGCAAUUGGACUUUCCAGUGCACACCAAAUGUCAAAAGGCUUACCAGAAAUUAUGGGCGUAGUGAGACUGAGCAGGCAUAUAGGGCCUCACCGUGUUGACCAAAACUUCCUGAGUGUGGGUCCUGGCUGUUUGCCUGAGAGAUCUCACACAUUUAGUGUUUGUGCAUUAAAAUACUGGAUCCUUUUUGCUCUGUCCUUGGCCAAGGACUCCUCUUGGCCUUGUGUGUAAUACUUGUCGCUACUCUUCUCCUUGGGAGUGGCUGCAUUUUAGUGGUGAACAUCAGAUCAGCCCAUGGGGUGCGGUGGUUCCCAGUGAGCUGUAAGGAAAGCUGAAUCAUUUCCCCAUAAAACCCAGAGUGCAGGAUCUGGCUCCAGUUCCAGCAUUACCCAGUGUCCUCUGCAUUGACUAGGACUAUUUCUUUUGUCAGAAUUGUCAGCCAGUCCCAAUAAAUGGUGAUGAUGAUGAGCUUGGAGGCUGAAUCAGGCAGCCAAGAUGAAGAAACAGCUCCAAGAUGGUCAGGAUAAACUGGCACCACAAAAUCUAUCACCAAUCCUUUGCAAAUGCCAUUGCUGACAGAGCUACUAUCCAUCUUUCUGUCACAAUCUUAAACAUGAAGCACUUUUAUUGAUGGUUGUUGGAAAAAUGUUGCAGACAGACUGUUGUUGGACAACCCUUACCCCUUUUAUAAGUGUCCCAAGAAAGAGGUGUAAAUAAUAAAGCAUCGCGCUUUUUUGCCUGUUUGGAACAAGCCCCUUGGCUUUCAUACUGCGAGCCUGGACAAGGUUUCACCACUGAUGUGGGCCACCACAAAGAGGUGCUUUAUUGAAGCACAAUGCUCUCUGAAGGAGAUGUUUCUUUUCCCAUUUAAAUGGACCAGAUAUUUUGGUCACAAGUUAAGAGCAUGGUCUGUGUCCUAAUCAAGAUUUUCCCCGAGUCCUAAAGACCAGAGAUGCAGACAGUGAAGGAAAGACAAUUGUGGCUAAAAGUAACAAGCUUUUUUUGACUGUCACUCAAAGGAAAGAUGGCUUUGUGCUGUCAGGUGCUGCUGAGGGGAGUCAAUACAUGGUGACAAACUUUUGGCUGGUUAUGUUCAUUUGUCACAACUGACAGCAGUCAGGCUUGCUUUGUAUAAAUGUUUUACAAAGUCAUCCUUAUCUCACCUCCAUCACUGCAGCAUCCCAGGACAUGGGCCACUACAACCUCUUGGUAUACUUACAAAGUGUCAGCUGUUGACUAGAGGCUGGUAACUGAGGCAUGACACAGAUAAUGCCUUGCCCAGAUUCAGGCAGCCACAUGGUGUCUCAUAUGGUACAUCUGAGCUGAAAACAGACCAGGGUAUAGCCUGCUAAUAGGAGAAGGAGAGGGAGCUGAGGGUGCCCAUACAGCAUAUCACUGCUCAGAAGGAAGGUACCCUAUAGCAGAAGAUGCAAGAACAUCCUGGCUUCCAGACAGAGGUUGCUGUGUGCUGAGACCCCAGUACACUGGGAUGGCAGUACCUCAGGAGCACAAGAGGAUCCUGUAUAAAGUCAGCUCUUCCCAAACAUUGACAUUUAUAUGGGAACGUCUAUCUGGUGUCAGAAUGAAAAUCAACAGCAAAGUUUGCACUGGUUUCACAUUAACAUAUGCAAAGCAGGAAUGAGCCCUACUUUGCAGAGGACAAAGCAUUCAUUGCCAUGAGAGGAGGCGGCAAAAAACCCCAACCACCACAUUAAAAGAAACUUUUUAUAUAGUUUCUUUAUACAAAUGUUUAUAUUUAUCCAUCACAGGGUGGUAUUUUUCAGAAUAAUGUACUUUACUUACCUUUAUCCUUACUCAUUGCCACUGUGAAAGAUGUGCUAACUCCCAGACUUUGUGUUGUCAGAUUGCAGUACCUCCUUGGAGACAGAGUCCAACCUUUCCUUUCUUCAGUUUUCAGAAGUAUGGCAACAUAGUUCAGACCUCGUGCCAUCACGGUGACCGAAGAGGAAUCUGUAAUUCAGACACAUUGCACCUGCAGUUCCCUGUGUGACUCCAGGAUGGCAAUGCUGCCUCAGCUCUUACUCCAGCUACUUAUGCACACUGUGCACUCUGUGAAAGGAUUUUUUUAUUAGCACCACAGGGUGUGCUGAGAGAUGAUUGCAUAUGACAGGAGUCAUUCUUACAACCACGGUCCGCCUGUUUUUGCUACGUCCGAUGCCUUGCAUGCAGCUGCUGGAACAGCCCUUACAUGCCUGUGGAUUGUAACCAGAGGAAGAACAGAAUGUCCUAAGAAAUUACACGUGUCUUGUUUCUGGGAUGCCUUUUAUUAUGAGUAUUUACAGAUGGUGUCAGUCAUUGGUAGGUGGUUAUGCUAAGAGGAGAUAACAGAUCCCACCCGGGACACAGGCUCCUCUAAUUCCAGCUCAGCCUUUGAUCAUGGAUAAAUUAUUCCUCUUUUACAUGCCUUAGUCUCCCUCCCCAUUCAAAUUCUACUUAGACUGUAAGUUUUUGGAGACAGUGAGUGUCUCACAGUGUGGAGAUACAGAAUGUAGUAUAGGUACUGUCCAGAACAAUGGAGACCUUGAUCCUGAUGGCAGCCUUCACUCAUUAUCUUAAUAGAAGCAUCCAAGUCUAUAUAUGAAACAAUUUAUGUGAACAAUCUUUUGGCCAUACUGACUCCAGAUCAGACAUGAGAUAAGAAGUGACAGAGGAAAGUGUGCAUGUAUAAAACCAUUUUGUGUCUUUGCAGGGACUGAAGAUGUAACUUCUUUGUUCUGAGGGGAGGUGACUGCCCUCCAAGUGGCAGCACUGCACCUCAGACACAAUGUGUGUGCCGUUUCCAUUGCCUGCUAGAAGCUUUCUUCCGAGUAGGAACGAGAAAUUAACUCCAAGUCUUGGAUCCCAAAGGGCAAUUUUGUAGCAAUUGUGAUGGCUCUCUUCAGGGAGCAACUCCAUAGAGAGUUGAACUAAUACUACACUGGCACCAGAGAUUGAACUGGUACCUCCAUUACAAGGGGAUACUCGACCCAUCUGAAGCGGGAGCAAAAACACAGGUUUGAGGAGACUAGACCCUCCAGCCUUCCAGUCCCCUUUUCCAUUUUAAGUACAUACUAGAAACACCACGGGAGAUAGGAAGCAUCAGUUCUUAAGGAAAACUCCCUUUUGACUACAAAAAGUCUCACAACGGACAUUUUAAUGGGGAUGUUUUCAGCAUAAGUAGUGUGACGACCAUUAGUACUGUUUCACUAUCAUUAAGAGAGUGAACUUCCCAUCUUGCAUGGCAGAAGAGCAGACCCCAGUGUGUACCUCACCUCCAAAGGUACGUCUUCUAACUUUGCUGGGCUGCAAAGAGCGGGUCUGUGUGCAGCCUCUACCAGAGAGAGUUUAUUUCAUUGGUGUACUACUACCUCUCUUGACCAAGACAUCAGUCCAUCAUCCAAAAGACCUGGUAGUGCUUCCUCAGGCCAGUUUUGUGUCUUAUGUGUCUCCUCCACUCCAGCUCAACAGACCCAUAUCCAUGCUGUGCAGGAUUUCCUGGCAACACUAGGCAUCCUGAAGCAACAGUGAACCUCUGUUCCUCAUUUGCCAGCUACUUUCUAAUCCAAGCCUUGCUAUUUUUAUCCAGUUCAAAUUUCUUCACUCCUUUAAUAAAUACAUAAUGUGGCAAUCUCUCAAAUGUUUGGCCAAAGGCAUUGCAGUUUGCAAUCAUUUCUGGCCCUACUGCCAGAAAACAACUGACUAAUCAAAUGGCAUCUUGCUUGCUGAGCUGACCCCAGUAGCAAAGUUCUCCUCUCAGAGGAAGCAUCUGGAUAUCAGGACUCUGUCAGCAUUUCCACUAAACUGGGGGUUUCUUCCCCUUUCUCUCCCAAAGCAACUGCAUUAAUGAUGUAGUAGAGGAGAAUUCAGCAGCAUCCUACCAAGUCCACCAUCUUCCCCAAACACCAAAGGAGCAAGUGCCUUGUGUGCCUCAAGGGAGGUUAUAGGACCUCCAAAAAAAUCACUCAGUUCUCUGAGAUUUCUGCCCUUGAUGUCCCAACAAAUGGGAACAGUGUCCAUGUCUUCUCGUGACCUCAGACCCAGUGUGCCCUAGAUAUGAUGCCUCUCACUGAGAGCUGAGUGACUCUUCCGGCUUGGACCACCAGCGGACACAGCUGGGGCUUCAUCUGAGGAGGUGCUGUGCUGUCAUAGCUGGGAUCAAAAAUGCACCAGAUUACCAGAAGCUGCACCUCUCUGUCACUUCCAGGGACAUACUGCUGUGACCAGCUGAUGAGCAGGAGCGUUUGGUUUGCUUUUUUCUACAGCUGAAAGCAGCCACAUGUCAAAUUGGCUGGGCUGGUCACAUACCUCCAGGUGGAAGAACACAGCUGCUGGAAGAGCCUCAACCUUCUGUCUGAGUAACUCUCUUUUCAGCCCCUUGCUGCAAUUUGCAGUGCCCUAGCUCUGGCCUUCCCACCCAAAGGGCUUUCCAGCAGCAGUAGCUGCAGCUGGAAAUCAAAGCAUGGGCCUGUUUUUCCAAGAGAUUCAGCGUGCCCAGCUGCAAGGGUUUGGCAGUGCCAGCAAACAUGGGCUGGAUCAGGGGUCCCUGUGUGCUGCAGGUGGCAAAGAUGCCACAAACAAGGCCAUCCCCUCUGCCUGCUUGUGCAUGGAGCAAGCUGGUGCCAUGCAGAGAUGGCCUUACUUGCCACUGAUCAAAAGGUGCUUGGGUGGGGGUGCAGGGAAGCUACUAUCAAUUAAAGUGAUACUUGGUAUGGGGAUUUCCCCCUUUUCCUUUCACUUCCCUCCAGCUGCAAAAGGGGUGGGGAGGAGCAAGGACGCUCACUGUUGCAUGAGGAAAAUUCCCCUCGCUGAGGCUGAUGAACCCGCCUGACGGGAGGCGGCUGCCGGUAUUACGUGUUGUGCCGCAUGUGUAUCCGCCAGCCACAGGCCCUGGCAAGGGGCCCCGGCUGGAAUUAACCUGCAGUAACCCCAGGCACAAGGGCAGCCUUGGCGGGGUGUGCCUGCCUGGCCUGCGCUGGAGUAUGAAAGCCAUUAUAAUCCACUCAUUCAUGAUGCUUAAAGAGCCAGAGGCUUUUUUCCCUUGGUUCUCCUGGAAGAGAGAGGGGUUUGGAAACAGUAAGGCACAGCAUUCUGCAUCCUGAUGGAGCAUCAUGUGCUUUACCAAGCCUUGCCCACCAUGUCAUCAGUCCAACAAGUUUUAAAGUAACAUUUAUCGUUUUUAUUAUGAACAAAUAAAAUUUCAGAUCAGCACAACCAGA